rnacentral:lncRNA from 1 species
CCCCCACCCCCCAUCAGGUUCUCCAGUCUCUUGCUCAGGCAUUGACAUCAUCAGCAAGAGGUGGGCCUGGCUGGUCAGCAGGCUCUGGGAACGCUGGGAAGCAAACCACUAGCCAAUGGCCUGGCAUCCCAGCUGGGCAGCACAAGCUCACUCGGGAGGCAUGGAGGGCAGAUGGAGUAGUGGGGCUUAUUGCCUACUGGGCAGCACAGGAUGAAGUGUAUGGGCCAGAAAUGGUCACCUGCAGGGGAGCAGGGCCCUCAGCAGCACCGGGGCUCCGUGGGAAUGGCCAGGCUGAACCUCAUUCCAUCUGCAGGCAAGUGCUCCCCACGGCUGACCCUGCGGGGCUUUGAAGUGCCUUGAGGGGCCACACUCAAGCUCACAGACACCACUCGCCUCAGCCCUGCCCUUCUUGCCUCUACUGAGAACCUGGGCAGACGUGUGGCACAGUACACUGUGGAAAAUCUACUUAUAGGCUCUCGUGUUCUCCUCAUCCCUAGUGCACACCACGGAG